rnacentral:rRNA from 1 species
UGUCCGAGUUGUAAUUUGAAGAAGGUAUCUUUGGUUUUGGCUCUUGUCUAUGUUCCUUGGAACAGGACGUCACAGAGGGUGAGAAUCCCGUGCGAUGAGAUGCCCAAUUCCAUGUAAAGUUCCUUCGACGAGUCGAGUUGUUUGGGAAUGCAGCUCUAAGUGGGUGGUAAAUUCCAUCUAAAGCUAAAUAUUGGCGAGAGACCGAUAGCGAACAAGUACUGUGAAGGAAAGAUGAAAAGAACUUUGAAAAGAGAGUGAAAAAGUACGUGAAAUUGUUGAAAGGGAAGGGCUUGAGAUCAGACUUGGAAUUUUCCAGCAAUGGAGCUUUCCGGGCCAGCAUCAGUUUGGAUGGCAGGAUAAUUGCGUAGAAAAGUAGCACUACUUCC